GAGAUCUUGCUCAGUACCCGAAAGUUCAGUAAUAACGUUUGUAGCAUUAAAAGCACUUCAUUUAUCUUUCGCUGAUUAUAAAUAUCACCAAUUUACAGACGUAAUCACACAUAACAAAGAAGUUGGGACUUCGGAGGCAAACGAAGAACAAAAAUAGCCCACCAGGUACCACCCAUGUACAUAUAUAUUAUAGCCAAACAAAAGCUAGCCCCAUUCUGACAAAAUGUAGUGAUUACAGAGGAAUUGUAAUUGCAUAUACAUACACAAGGCAAUGGAUGCAUGCGGACACCGAGGGACAAGUGAUCAUCACCCUCUUCUUGGAAGCAUCGAUGUUAAAGCGAAUUAAUUAAACCUGUAUAAUCUUCGUAUUAGCUAAUUACUUGCGAAGAUCAGCCGCAUGUGACUCCACCAGUAUUGACCACAAUACCUGCACAUCUUCGCAGGGGCACGACUUCACAUCCUUGUAGAGUAUAUACAGCCCUCUACCUGCAAAACACAACGAAUGCAUGCAUGUAAUCGUUUUAAAUGGAGAUUUUGCGAGAAAUCAUGAGAAUGUGAAGAGGGGGAAUUGGUAUUAAUUACGUCUGCGGUGGCUGGAGUGAAGGCGAUCCCAGAGCUUCUUCAAAGGGGAGACGACGAGGGAGUGAAGCCAACCGGCCAUUUGGAGAAGUAGUGUGCGUGUGUUUAAUUCCAAUUAAUGGUUUUGGUAGUAGGUGAGUGGUUGGAAGGAAAUAGAGGGCCGAGCUGAAAGUAUUAAUGGGGGGCAGGGGCUUUUGCUUUGCUUUGAGGAGAGCGAGUGACUUGUAUCUUACUACUGUUCUUCAAUUUGUAUUUCCUUCAUUUGAUCUCUUACAGGGCAAUCAUGCAAGAAAUAAGAAUUUAGAAAUACAUGCCCUCUCUUGGUGCCAUGUCUCUG
rnacentral:lncRNA from 1 species